GUCCCUGUAGCAUAAUGGAUAUCCCGUUGAACUCCUAAUACUAAGGUCAUGGGUUCUAAUCCCACCAGGGAUG